UGCAAGUUAUACAGGUGCAAAAUAAAUCUUCUUUUUCAACCUAGAACUCAUUGUUUAGUGUGAGUUUCAAUACAUACAAGAAGAAACAAG
ensembl:snoRNA